CCAUGUCACCACUUUGUCACCUGACUCCUAGAUUUUGUCAACUGUAGCUGGGUGUCUGAGAUCACUUCCAUCCCUGUGGAAUGUGCUUGCAGUGUUUGCAUGAAGUCCAGUCCGCUCAGACUCCCACACAGAGAUCACUGCUGAUGGAGCUGGUUUACUUGUAUCCUCUACAUUGGUGAGAUUAAUAUAAAGCCCUUCAAUGAGGAGGAGGAGCAAGAGGACUCCAAGAAUGUCAAGGAAGGAAGCACCCCCUCCAGCCAUUUGAUCGAAACACAAUGGACAAAUCAUGCUAUGUUUGAUCACGACGUCACCAAAAUCCAGACUAUGGGAAACUUCCAGAGGGAAUUAUGAAGAUUCUUCAACAGAACUGGAAAAAAGAGAAAGGAAUGGAAGAAGGAACUAGUCAAUUAAUAAAGGAUUAAAAGACAGUUCUUUAAAACAAAGAUAGGUAAUACUCAACUAUUGUACCUAGUGAUGCACAAUUGGGAGAUAAAAUUAUUUAAAAAUGCAAUAAAAUAAUCACCUUAAAAUCA